rnacentral:rRNA from 1 species
GACGAACGCUGGCGGUGUGCUUAACACAUGCAAGUGGUGCGACGAACCAGAGCUUGCUCUGGGGCAAAGCCGCGAACGGGUGAGUAACACGUGGGUAAUCUACCCCGAUGACCGGGACAACCCGAGGAAACUCGGGCUAAUACCGGAUGUGGUACGGAGACAUAAGUCUCUUUACUAAAGGUAGCUUCGGCUUCCGCAUUGGGAGGGGCCCGCGGCCCAUUAGCUAGUUGGUGGGGUCAAGGCCUACCAAGGCAACGAUGGGUAGCUGGUCUGAGAGGACGAUCAGCCACACUGGGACUGAGACACGGCCCAGACUCCUACGGAGGCAGCAGUGGGGAAUCUUGCGCAAUGCGCGAAAGCGUGACGCAGCAACACCGCGUGAGGAAGACGGCCUUAGGGUUGUAAACCUCUUUCAGAUGGGACGAAGGUGAUGCGGUGAAUAGCCGAUGUCAUUGACGGUACCGUCAGGAAGAAAGCUCCGGCUAACUA